ACAUGCAAGUCGAACGGUAGCACAGAAGAGCUUGCUCUUUGGGUGACGAGUGGCGGACGGGUGAGUAAUGCUUAGGAACAUGCCUUUGCGUGGGGGAUAACUAUUGGAAACGAUAGCUAAUACUUCAUGAUGUCUACGGACCAAAGGGGGCUUCGGCUCUCGCGCAGAGAGUGGCCUAAGCGAGAUUAGCUUGUUGGUGAGGUAAAGGCUCACCAAGGCGACGNNCUCUAGCUGUUCUGAGAGGAAGAUCAGCCACACUGGAACUGAGACACGGUUCAGACUCCUACGGGAGGCAGCAGUGGGGAAUAUUGCACAAUGGGGGCAACCCUGAUGCAGCCAUGCCGCGUGUGUGAAGAAGGCCUUCGGGUUGUAAAGCACUUUCAGUCGUGAGGAAAGGUUAAUGGUUAAUACCCAUUAGCUGUGACGUUAGCGACAGAAGAAGGACCGGCUAACUCCGUGCCAGCAGCCGCGGUAAUAC
rnacentral:rRNA from 1 species